GGCGGGUCCCCUCGCAUGCAUUCGUCGUGAACCUGGUCAGGCCGGGAACGGAGCAGCCACAGCGAAGUGAAUGUAGUGCCGAGGAUAAGGCUCGCCACU
rfam:Sutterella sp. CAG:521 genomic scaffold, scf124